rnacentral:rRNA from 1 species
CCUACGGGGUGCAGCAGUGGGGAAUAUUGGACAAUGGGCGAAAGCCUGAUCCAGCCAUGCCGCGUGUGUGAAGAAGGCCUUCGGGUUGUAAAGCACUUUCAGUGGGGAAGAAAGCCUUGGGGCUAAUACCCUCGAGGAAGGACAUCACCCACAGAAGAAGCACCGGCUAACUCCGUGCCAGCAGCCGCGGUGAAUACGGAGGGUGCGAGCGUUAAUCGGAAUUACUGGGCGUAAAGCGCGCGUAGGCGGUCUGAUAAGCCGGUUGUGAAAGCCCCGGGCUCAACCUGGGAACGGCAUCCGGAACUGUCAGGCUAGAGUGCAGGAGAGGAAGGUAGAAUUCCCGGUGUAGCGGUGAAAUGCGUAGAGAUCGGGAGGAAUACCAGUGGCGAAGGCGGCCUUCUGGACUGACACUGACGCUGAGGUGCGAAAGCGUGGGUAGCAAACAGGAUUAGAUACCCUAGUAGUC